rnacentral:lncRNA from 1 species
UACAUUCCACUAUAUUUUGAUUAUGUUUAUAUAUGUUUUUGAAUAUAAGUACCGGUAUUUGAAAUUUUAUGUAAAAUUACAUUUUAAUACAAAUAUAAAAAGCUGUGUUUUUUUUUUUUGUUUGUUUUUUUUUUUUUUGAUUAAAGUUUUACUUUUCAUCACACAUUUAUGCAGGAUCUUUUUCAGUUUAUUUUAUUCACUUUUUACUCAAAUAAUAUAAAAUAUGACUGCCAUAUGAGUGGAAAGCCUUUCAAAAUCUGAAGGAAAAUGCACAUAUUGCAUAAUUACAUAAAAGAUCAUAUGGCAUUAAUUUUAACGAGCCAUGAAUCCAUCUAGUUUAAGACAACAGCUAUUAGUAGAAAUUGGUAUAACUGCUGGUUUGCUAGCUGCUCAUUUGUGAAAUUAUUUCAAGAUUAACUGCAUUUGUUUUUUGAUAUUCAUUUUUUAAAGGUGCAAUGAGCAGUAUUAGUAUUGAUGACCCAUCAAUAUUGGGGCACUGUGAGGUAACACAAUAUCGUCAUAUGGUGUAACCAAAUUCCCACGUUUGGUAAAAUAGGUGAUUUUAAGUAGCCUUGUAAGAUUUAAAACAUUUUAUUUAUUUUUUUGGUAUGUGUUGUUCCUUAGUCUGUAUUUUGCAUAUAUGAAUGUUCUAGGUGUGUAGAAUUAAGAACAAGUGGUGCUGAGUAAUAAAAUAAAAAAAAAUAAAAAAAUCACAACUAGGGCCUUCCAAUAUAUGCAUGAACUGUAUAUUCACAACUCCUAUCACAAUGUAAUGCAAUUAUACAUAAAUCAUAGUUUUCACUUCUUACACAUUAGAAGCCACAUUAGAAUAAUCAUGAAUGCACCUUUCAGACAACAUUGACAAUAUGUACCAAAACACAAGCAGGUGCUACACUUGGAAAAGUCGUAAAUAACAGGAAAACGCCUUGAAGCAGAAUGGAGGUCAUGUAUAAAAAGUAUAGUAUCCAGUUGUUCCUAUUUAUUCUCUGCUUUGUUUCAUAAAUGUUCUCUUUGCUCCUUUUCUGUCAGUUUUCUCCUGUUGCGGUUUUUAAAUUUUUAUUUUUUAUUUUUUUUUGUUUCACAAGUGCAUUUCUUCAAAAAUAUAUAACAGAAGCAUAAACGUGUAACUUUGAUAAAUGUUCCCAGUACUGUCAGUUUUUGUAGGAAAAAUAGUCUGUUUGUUAUUCCUUAUAGUUUAAACCAGUGGUUCCCAACCCAGUCCUCGAGUACCCCCUAACAGUCCAGGAUUUAGGGAUUACCCAGUUGUGUGUGUUUUUUUUUUUUUUGUUUUUUUUUGGAAAAGGGAAAAAAAAAACUUUAGAUACAACAGGGUAAUCCCUAAAUCCUGGACUGGGUUGGGAACCACUGGUUCAUGCUGUCGGGGUUAUGGUGCCCUGGGAUGCCCUUCAAUGUAAGUACUCAAAGAUUUUUAUAAUGGUGCCAUCAUACAUUGGAUGCUGCUGGGCUCUGCUUCCUGACUCCACUGCAGCCUGUGCUAAGCACAGCAGUUCGUAUCGUCUCAUUGGCUGAGAGUGAUCAGCUGAUGCUCUCAGCUAGUGA